rnacentral:rRNA from 1 species
GUUAAAAAGCUCGUAGUCGGAUUUUGGCUGAGAACGGUCGGUCCGCCGUUAGGUGUGCACUGACUGGUCUCAGCUUCCUGGUGAGGAGGUGUGCUUCAUCGCCACUUAGUCACCGUGGUUACUUUGAAAAAAUUAGAGUGUUCAAAGCGGGCUUACGCUUGAAUAUAUUAGCAUGGAAUAACACCAUAGGACUCCUGUCCUAUUUCGUUGGUCUCGGGACGGGAGUAAUGAUUAAGAGGAACAGUUGGGGGCAUUCGUAUUUCAUUGUCAGAGGUGAAAUUCUUGGAUUUAUGAAAGACGAACUUCUGCGAAAGCAUUUGCCAAGGAUGUUUUCAUUGAUCAAGAACGAAAGUUGGGGGCUCGAAGAUGAUUAGAUACCAUCCUAGUCUCAACCAUAAACGAUGCCGACUAGGGAUUGGCGGAUGUUAAUUGAUGACUUCGCCAGCACCUUAUGAGAAAUCAAAGUUUUUGGGUUCCGGGGGGAGUAUGGUCGCAAGGCUGAAACUUAAAGGAAUUGACG